rnacentral:rRNA from 1 species
UACGGGGGGGAGCAAGCGUUGUUCGGAUUUACUGGGCGUAAAGGGCGCGUAGGCGGCGCAACAAGUUCACUUGUGAAAUCUCCGGGCUUAACCCGGAGCGGCCAAGUGAUACUGUCGUGCUAGAGUGCGGAAGGGGCUACUGGAAUUCUCGGUGUAGCGGUGAAAUGCGUAGAUAUCGAGAGGAACACCUGCGGCGAAGGCGGGUAGC